AUUGAACGCUGGCGGCAGGCCUAACACAUGCAAGUCGAGCGAGCGGCGGACGGGUGAGUAAUGUAUGGGGACUGCCCGAUAGAGGGGGAUAACUACUGGAAACGGUGGCUAAUACCGCAUACUAUCGGAUAACCCAUAUGGGAUUAGCUAGUAGGUGGGGUAAAGGCUCACCUAGGCGACGAUCUCUAGCUGGGCUGAGAGGAUGAUAGGGCAACCGGGGACAUAGACACGGCCCAGACGCCUACGGAGGGAGCAGGGGGGAAUAUUGGAAAAUGGGCGCAAGCCUGAUGCCGCCAUGCCGCGUGGAUGAAGAAGGGCUUAGGGUUUUAAAGUUCUUUCAGCGGGGAGGCGUUACCCGCAGAAGAAGCACCGGCUAACUCCGUGCCAGCCGCCGCGGUAAUUC
rnacentral:rRNA from 1 species